rnacentral:rRNA from 1 species
AACGAACGCUGGCGGCAGGCCUAACACAUGCAAGUCGAGCGAGAAGGUUCCUUCGGGAGCUGGACAGCGGCGGACGGGUGAGUAACGCGUGGGAAUAUACCUUUUGGUGGGGGACAACAGUUGGAAACGACUGCUAAUACCGCAUACGCCCUUCGGGGGAAAGAUUUAUCGCCGAGAGAUUAGCCCGCGUUAGAUUAGGUAGUUGGUGAGGUAACGGCUCACCAAGCCGACGAUCUAUAGCUGGUCUGAGAGGAUGAUCAGCCACACUGGGACUGAGACACGGCCCAGACUCCUACGGGAGGCAGCAGUGGGGAAUAUUGCGCAAUGGAGGAAACUCUGACGCAGCCAUGCCGCGUGAGUGAAGAAGGCCCUAGGGUUGUAAAGCUCUUUCAACUGUGAGGAUGAUGACAGUAGCAGUAGAAGAAGCUCCGGCUAACUUCG